UUCCUUUUCCCCUCCAUAAUUUAUCCCUCUUCCUGUUAACUCCUGUGCUUUUGUCCAUGUCCUCCUUUACAUGUCCUCUCUCUCGCUUUCUCUCCUGCUUCUCUUUAUUCCUGGACAUUGAGGAUCUGUGCAGACAGUCCGUGGUGCCAGUUCUUCAGCUUGGCAAAGCGGGGCCCUUUCACCUCCGACUCAAACCUCUCUCUGAUGGUGUGGAAGGCAGGACAAGGCUGUUACAUCAGAGCUUCCUCAUCUGGAUCUUGCACUGCAUGGAGGGAAAUAAACGAGAGAAUUUGGUGAGGAUUCACUAAUGAGAAGAUAACUGAACUGAGAAGGUUGAAAUGGACAAAACAAGUUAAGAUAGAAGGAAAGCAGGAGUCAGUGUACUGACUGUAUUCAGUGCCAGUGAUGUGGGCCAGGAUCCUGAAGCUCUUGGACUGCAGGUUGGCAGCACGACGAGCCCAUUCAGACAUGUCCUGGUUUGUCUCUCCUGGUCUGAUCACUGCCUGGUAAACCGGAGAUGCACAGUCUACCACAGGGUCCUUAACAGGCAGAGCUCCACUGCAGAUCAGAGAAUACUGUUAGAGCUCUAAGUGUAAAGCCCCCAAAUGUAGUAGAUAAUCAUAAUGUACUAAAUGCCCAUGAUGUUGUAUCAUUUUCAACUGAAUAGAUUAUAUUACUAUAAUAUUUUAUACAAUUUGUUCUACCCCUAAUGGGGGAAUCCGAAAAUUUCUAUUUACCUCCUACUAAUUCACAGGGAAAUUAUGAUUUAUUAUGAUUCAAUUUCACUGCAGAAUUGUAAAAUAUUGUUAAAAUGUGUAAAAGUUUGAAUUUAUCAUUUUCCUCCACACAGUCAAGUCAAAAUGAAACUAUCCCCUGGCCUGUAGGUACUGUAGAGGGCAGAGAGGACAGGGUUCAUCACUAAUAUUCUGGUAUACAAAUGAUCCAAACUUUGACUUUUUAAUUGUGUUUAAUUUAGCCAACUUUGUUCAAAGGCCUGGAAAAAAUGGCAAGAUGAACUGUUUCAUUCGUCUUUACUUUACAUGCUUGUAGUAUUGUUUGACAUUGCACUAAACUCUGAUCUGGUUUAUGUGGUGUCUUGUAAGCAUUGUUAGUGGAAUGUAACUAAGUACAUUUAAUCAAGUACUGUACUAAAGUAGCCUACCAUUUUGAGGUACUUUCCUUUGCAUUUCUAUUGUAUGCUACUUUAUAAUUCUACUCUACUACAUGUCAGAGGGAAAUAUUGCAGUCUUUACUACUCUACAUGUAUUUGACAGCAAUUGUUACUUUUUACUUUUUACAGAUUCAUAAUUAUUAUUAUUAUUUUUUAUUUAACCCAUAUUUAACCAGGUAAGACCAGCUUACAAGGAGACAUUUGCCUAAGACAGCACAAUAAAAAAGGUUAGAGAUGACAACAAUAACCACUAGAAAACAUUAAUACAUGAUCAACUCAGAAAUUAUGAUGUAGUAAUAAAGAUUUAGCUACCUCACACUAAAGGAGUUCAAAUUCACCUCACCUUUACAAGUUUCAACAUUAGGGAUGACACAUUUUAAUAUGUCAAUAAUUAUAAUCCAAUAAUAUAAUAUUUAUUAUUCUGCAUAAUUAGCACUUUUACUUUGGUAUGCUACUAGUCUGACCCUGAAUAUUCCACCACUUUUACAAUCCCAUGUGGGCCGGGCUUAGACUUAUGAAACAGUAAUAAAAUUAUUACAUCUUGUA